CUGUUUUUUAAAAAAUGUUUUUUGUCUUGUGUUUUCCCUAUAAUUUAAAAUAUUUAUGUUUUAUAUCAUUUGGAUUCCCCCAACCCUUAGAUUAUACAUACAGUCUCUUUAGCCAUGUCUGAGAUUUUUUUAAUUCAUAUUUGUAGUAAUUUGGAAUUCAUAUUGGCAUAUAGCACAAGUUAAGGAGCCAUCUCAUUUUUUCCCAUGUGGACAGUCAAGUUGUGUCAGUAUUAUACAUUUUUCUCACUGAGCUGAAACACUACUUUUCUCUAGAUGAGAUUCCCAUAACUGCAUACUCUACUUUGUCCUUUUAUUUUAAAGUCUCUUGUUGAAAAGUAAUGUAUUUUAGUUAAUUGGUUUUCUUUAAUCCUCUGUAUUUUAUUUUGCACUUUAAAAAACAUUUUUAGAAUGGCUCUGCAGGUCAUUUACUGUCAGACUGCCAUAGAGGCCUGAAAAAGCAGAGUUGUUAAUGGUGAGUGUCCUUAUAAAGUUUAGUCACUUGUAAGGCAUUUUUUUUUAACGUAUUAAGCUUAAAGAUUGCCUUUGUUCAUUAUUCCUAUUGAUGGG
rnacentral:lncRNA from 1 species